rnacentral:rRNA from 1 species
CUUAGUGGCGAACGGGUGAGUAACGCGUGAGUAACCUGCCCUGGAGGUGGGGGGACAACAGUUGGAAACGACUGCUAAUACCGCAUAAGCCCACCGGUCCGGCAUCGGAUUGCGGGAAAAGGAUUUAUUCGCUUCAGGAUGGACUCGCGUCCAAUUAGCUAGUUGGUGAGGUAACGGCCCACCAAGGCGACGAUUGGUAGCCGGACUGAGAGGUUGAACGGCCACAUUGGGACUGAGACACGGCCCAG